ACCCAAACUUUUUUCAAUCAAAAUUAGCCAAACAUUAAUUUUGAAGACCAAACUACCCCUCUCAUUCUCACCCUCCUCUCUCCCCCAAAUCCUCCCCAUCUCACCGAAAACUUCUCAUCGGAAUCGCUUAUCUAUAGUCGGCGGCAUAGAGCGGCACCGGAGUCCAUCAUUGGCGGCUGAAAUCACCUCUCACGUUCAAAAUCAUCCAAGAUCUCCAAAAUCAAUUGUAAAAAUUCAAAACCCUAGGUGAGUUCUUACUUCUUUUUUUAUUUGGGUUGUGAUUUUGUGGUAUUGUUGUGCUUUGUUGUUGUUGUUGUUGUUGCUGUGGUGUUGGGUUGGUGCGGUUGUGAUGGUUUGAUGAUUUGCAGUUGUUGAUGGCGGUGGUGCGUUGGUGUGUUGCAUGCGGGAUGUGAGAGUUGGAUGUUGUUGAUGGGUGUUGGAUGGCUGCUGCUGCCCAUUGGACGGAAUUUGCACAAAAAUACAGAGCAUUGCUUUUGCACGACAAUAGCACAGGCUCUGUAUUUCAUCUGUCGCACAAGUUUUUGUGUGAUCGGAUGAGCGUCG
rnacentral:lncRNA from 1 species